GAAAAUAAACCUGAUGGGUUGUUGCUGGCUCUCUAGGGAGCAUGUGCACACCUUGUCAUCUUUAUAUCUCCACCUGUGCACCUUUUGUAGACAUCUUUCCCUAGGUGUCUAUGUUGAUUCUUCAUUUACCCCCAAUGUAUGUCAAUAGAAUGUUGUGAUAAAAAUCUAUACAACUUUCAGCAACGGAUCUCUUGGCUCU
rnacentral:misc_RNA from 1 species